rnacentral:rRNA from 1 species
UGAAUACGAGACGCUAAGGCGUCGAAGUAGUGUAUGUCAUACUUCCAAGAAAAGCUUGCACUGUCAUAGAUAAAAAACGCCUGUACCAUAACCGACACAGGUGGGUAGGUAGAGUAUACUAAGGGGCGCGAGAUAACUCUCUCUAAGGAACUCGGCAAAAUAACUCCGUAACUUCGGGAGAAGGAGUGCCUUAUUCUUAAGGUUGCAAUAACAAGAUCCAAGCAACUGUUUAUCAAAAACACAGGUCUCCGCUAAGUCGUAAGACGAUGUAUGGGGGCUGACGCCUGCCCAGUGCCAGAAGGUUAAAGAAGCUGGUUAGCAUUUGCGAAGCUAGUAACUGAAGCCCUGGUGAACGGCGGCCGUAACAAUAACGGUCCUAAGGUAGCGAAAUUCCUUGUCGGGUAAGUUCCGACCCGCACGGAAGGCGUAAUGAUUUGGAUACUGUCUCGGAGAGGGGCUCGGUGAAAUAGACUUGUCUGUGAAGAUGCGGACUACCUGCACCAGGACAGAAAGACCCUAUGAAGCUUUACUGUAACUUGAAAUUGAAAUUGGACUUUAUUCGCGCAGUAUAGGUGGGAGGCGUUGAUUAUAAUCUUGCGGGAUUAUUGGAGCCAUUAGUGAGAUACCACUCUUGUAAUGUUAGAUUUCUAACUUUGAAUCAUUAUCUGGUCAAAGAACAGUUUCAGGCGGGCAGUUUGACUGGGGCGGUCGCCUCCUAAACGGUAACGGAGGCGUACAAAGGUUUCCUCUGAACGGUUAGAAAUCGUAUCUAGAGUGUAAAGGCAUAAGGAAGCUUGACUGUGAGACCUACAAGUCGAGCAGGGACGAAAGUCGGUCUUAGUGAUCUGACGGUACUGAGUGGAAAGGCCGUCACUCAACGGAUAAAAGUUACUCUAGGAUAACAGGCUGAUCUCCCCCAAGAGUUCACAUCGACGGGGAGGUUUGGCACCUCGAUGUCGGCUCAUCGCAUCCUGGGGCGGUAGUACGUCCCAAGGGUUGGGCUGUUCGUCCAUGAAAGCGGUACGCGAGCUGGGUUCAGAACGUCGUGAGACAGUUCGGUCCAUAUCCGGUGUAGGCGUUAGAAUAUUGAGAGGAGCCUUCUUUAGUACGAGAGGACCGAGAAGGACAUACCUCUGGUGUACCAGUUAUCGUGCCAACGGUAAACGCUGGGUAGCUAUGUAUGGAGUGGAUAACCGCUGAAAGCAUCUAAGUGGGAAGCCCACCUCAAGAUAAGUAUUCUCAU